rnacentral:rRNA from 1 species
ACUAUUUAUGGAUAAGUCUAUAUCAAUCUAUAUAUAACCAUCGAUAGAUUAUUAUAUAUUAAUAGGUUGAUAUACAGAUGAAGGAUACUUAUUAGAGUAUUAUAAAAUAUAAUCUUUAUUUAUAAAGAGAUAGAUUAUUUUACUUCAAUAAGGACAAGUAAAAAGAUAAAUUAGCUGUUUAUCAAGAAAGGAAAGUUUCUGCUAUAAGAUUCGAUUUAUUUUGUUUAAAGGUAGUUGGUAGGGUAAAGGCCUACCAAGCCUACGAUCAAAAGCCAAGUUUGAUAGAACAGAUGGCCACAUUGGGAAUGAAAUGCCCCAAGUAGUAUAAACUACCAGCAGUCAAGAAUAUUAGUCAAUGCUCGCAAGAGUGAACUAGCUAACUGAAAUCACAUGAAAAUAUAAUUGUAUUAAUUGUGAUAAGGUAAGGGAAAAAACUGAUGUUACCUUACUAUUAGUGUUGUCCAAAACUGGUGCCAGAAGACUCGGUAAGACCAGAAACGCAAACGUUAAUCGUCCUAAUCAGGCGUAAAGGGUAUGUAGGCUGCUUUUAAUAUUUCUAUUUAAAAUAGCUCUGAAUUUUAAUCAGUUAAAUAGAGAUACAAUAAAAGCUAGAAUCAAAUUGAGGAUAAGCCAAAUAAUACUUAGAGUAGGGAUGAUAUCCAUAGAUACUAAGGGGAAUACUAAAGGUGAAAGCUUUUAUCUACUAAUGAUUGACGCUGAGAAACGAAGGUGAGAAUAGGAAAUAGGAUUAGAUACCCAGAUACCUCUCACUGUCAACGAUGAAUGGUGGUUUGUUAGUUUUAAUAAAAACUGAUAACGAUGCUAACGCGAUAACCAUUCCGCCUUGCGAGUACGGUCGCAAGACUGAAACCAAAAAAAUUAGUCGGUCUCGAAGCAAACGAAGUGGAGCAUGUUAUUUAAUACGAUAGUACGCGUAAAAUCUUACCGGUUCUUGCAUAGCCAUUUUGUAUACAAAGUUAAUUUAAUUUUGUUGCUGAAUGAGUAGUAAUUUAAUCAUUUUAGGUUAAAUUAUUCGUUUACAGGUGUUGCAUGGCUGUCGUCAGUUCGUGUUUUGAGAAGUUAGGUUAACUCCGCUAACGGACGCAAUCCCUGUUGUUAAUUUAUACUUAACAAUUAAUGAAUUUUAUAUAUUUUCAUUUGGGGCUAAGACAAGUCGUUAUGAUCCUUAUGAACAGGGCUAUAGACGUGCUACAAAAACUUUUACAAAGUGAAGCAAAACCAGACCCUUGU